rnacentral:rRNA from 1 species
UACGGAGGGUGCAAACGUUGCUCGGAAUCAUUGGGCGUAAAGCGCACGUAGGCGGCGGCGUAAGCGGGAUGUGAAAGCCCAGGGCUCAACCCUGGAAGUGCAUCCCGAACUAUGUCGCUUGAAUCUCGGAGGGGGACAGAGAAUUCCCGGUGUAGAGGUGAAAUUCGUAGAUAUCGGGAGGAAUACCAGUGGCGAAGGCGCUGUCCUGGACGAAGAUUGACGCUGAGGUGCGAAAGCGUGGGGAGCAAACAGG